AUUGAACGCUGGCGGCAUGCCUUACACAUGCAAGUCGAACGGCAGCACGGGAGCAAUCCUGGUGGCGAGUGGCGAACGGGUGAGUAAUAUAUCGGAACGUGCCCAGUCGUGGGGGAUAACGUAGCGAAAGCUACGCUAAUACCGCAUACGAUCUACGGAUGAAAGCGGGGGAUCGCAAGACCUCGCGCGAUUGGAGCGGCCGAUAUCAGAUUAGGUAGUUGGUGAGGUAAAGGCUCACCAAGCCGACGAUCUGUAGCUGGUCUGAGAGGACGACCAGCCACACUGGGACUGAGACACGGCCCAGACUCCUACGGGAGGCAGCAGUGGGGAAUUUUGGACAAUGGGCGCAAGCCUGAUCCAGCAAUGCCGCGUGCAGGAUGAAGGCCUUCGGUUGUAACU
rnacentral:rRNA from 1 species